GACGAACGCUGGCGGCGUGCUUAACACAUGCAAGUCGUACGGUAAGGCCCUUUCGGGGGUACACGAGUGGCGAACGGGUGAGUAACACGUGAGUAACCUGCCCACAACUUUGGGAUAACGCUAGGAAACUGGUGCUAAUACUGGAUAUGUGCUCCUGCUGCAUGGUGGGGGUUGGAAAGCUCCGGCGGUUGUGGAUGGACUCGCGGCCUAUCAGCUUGUUGGUGGGGUAGUGGCCUACCAAGGCGGCGACGGGUAGCCGGCCUGAGGGGGUGACCGGCCACAUUGGGGCUGAGAUACGGCCCAGACUCCUACGGGGGGCAGCAGUGGGGAAUAUUGCACAAUGGGCGCGAGCCUGAUGCAGCAACGCCGCGUGCGGGAUGACGGCCUUCGGGUUGUAAACCGCUUUCAGCAGGGACGAAGCUUUUUGUGACGGUACCUGCAGAAGAAGCACCGGCUAACUACGUG
rnacentral:rRNA from 1 species